CUCUGAAAAAGGUUUUCAGAUCCAACCAUUCUAUAAAAAUGACCUAACGCAGCCUCGACGGCAGGCAGAGAAGCAGACGUUCGCUUCCAAGCAGUGCAGUCAUUCCGAAGAAGAAUUACCCAUCUCUGGAGCAAUGAGCAAGUGAAUAUUGAAAUUACAGCAGAUUAUAUUGGAUUAAAUUAUUUAUGGCAAACCUCAUCUCACCUGGAAGGUUCUGCAGUUUUUUCCUGGCAACGUGGAAACUGGAUUUUCCAAUCCUUCAGUAUUCUGUUAAAGCCUGGAAACAUUUCUGUUUCCAAUAAGUUGCUAAUCUUUCCAGAAGAUGCGAUGCUGUCUGCAUUUGGAGUGUGAUUACGAUGCCUUAUAAAGUCCUCCAUAACGCUUUGAAAACAUACAUAAUUUUGGCCAUUACUGGCUAGGAGAUGCAGGGUCUUUCUCUCGAGAAAAGGAUUUAUGGAGCUAUCAGUGGAGUUUUAUGGCUCUGAACAGCUAGCGAUGCCCUAAUGUCCCAAACGGAGAGUACUUACACUUGAAGGCCUUAAAGAGGUCCAAGCAAAGUACCCGUUCUUACGAGCGACCUAAACGAACAGUGUGACAAACAGCAUUACCGCGUGCUUGUGCCGUAAAAGGUGGCAACAGAUGUUAGGAAAGAUGGAUUGCUCCGAGGCGGGAUUUCGCCGGGAGGAUGGAUCCGGCGGUUCUGGGCGCGGGGACACGUUGCCGCCCCGAAGGUGAGCGACUGGCGCCCCGGGUGGAGACCUGGCAGGAGAUGAAAGUCCUGCUUGCUUGACUGCCCGUUCGGCGGAAAAACAGCACACGUGCUCCUUAAGCUAAGGUCAUUUUUAGCCCAGGAAAUGCUGAAUCAGCAGCGGAAACCAAUCAAGUAAUUUCUUUCAUUUCCUAACAUUCCAGCAAAAUAGUGAAAAUCACAUCUCAUUUGCUGAGGAGACUAUACGACAGAAAUCUCUUCGCCCAAGGAUCAUUUUAAAAGAGGGGCUUCUAAUUGCAUUUCACAGGGACGGCACAGGCCGUGGUCUCGUCUCGCACGCAGCAGCGACCCUGGAGGAAGCAGGAUAUCACUGAGGGUUCAGAACGGGAACAAAAAGAAGUUUAUCACGCCGGCAAGCCACGCGAAGCCUGAAAGGGCUUUUCCAAAAGCUACACCAAAAAUUCACGGUUCACGCCCAUAAAGGAAACCACGACAAAAACAUGAUGAAAGGAAUUACUAUGAAGAGGUAUCUGCAUGUUCAGGAUGACAAAAGUACUGAUGGGGAGAGAGAGUUUUUUUUAACUGAGAGUGCUUAAAAGAAAUACAAAGAGCAAUGCUCUUCUGGAGAGGAACAGCAGAAUUGGCUGCAAUGUAAUUUUCCAGGUUUGUUUCUUUGUUUUUGCCUUUCGAGCCAGCUCAUGAUAAUAGGCACAAUUUAGAUCCUAGUUCCCAACCUGCUGCAGUCAGUAGUGUGGUUUAGGGCAAGAAAACCCUGCAGCUAAGGCUGUUUAAACACAUCUCGAUGGGAUUUUAUUCCAAGUCUCCUCUUCCCAAUCUCACCCGCAAUGGGACUGCGAGCGACAGCCGGGGUUAUCCCGGCCCCGUGGCAAGCGAGACGCCCCGCCAGUGGGGAGAUCCCCGAUGGCCGUGUGCCUUCGCGCCCGUCCUCUGCCGCAGCCGAGAGCAGCCCCGCGGCAGCGCCGGGCGCGGGUCCGGCCAC